GCUUAACACAUGCAAGUCGAACGGAAAGGCCCUGCUUUUGUGGGGUGCUCGAGUGGCGAACGGGUGAGUAACACGUGAGUAACCUGCCCUUGACUUUGGGAUAACUUCAGGAAACUGGGGCUAAUACCGGAUAGGAGCUCCUGCUGCAUGGUGGGGGUUGGAAAGUUUCGGCGGUUGGGGAUGGACUCGCGGCUUAUCAGCUUGUUGGUGGGGUAGUGGCUUACCAAGGCUUUGACGGGUAGCCGGCCUGAGAGGGUGACCGGCCACAUUGGGACUGAGAUACGGCCCAGACUCCUACGGGAGGCAGCAGUGGGGAAUAUUGCACAAUGGGCGGAAGCCUGAUGCAGCAACGCCGCGUGCGGGAUGACGGCCUUCGGGUUGUAAACCGCUUUCGCCUGUGACGAAGCGUGAGUGACGGUAAUGGGUAAAGAAGCACCGGCUAACUACGUGCCAGCAGCCGCGGUGAUACGUAGGGUGCGAGCGUUGUCCGGAUUUAUUGGGCGUAAAGGGCUCGUAGGUGGUUGAUCGCGUCGGAAGUGUAAUCUUGGGGCUUAACCCUGAGCGUGCUUUCGAUACGGGUUGACUUGAGGAAGGUAGGGGAGAAUGGAAUUCCUGGUGGAGCGGUGGAAUGCGCAGAUAUCAGGAGGAACACCAGUGGCGAAGGCGGUUCUCUGGGCCUUUCCUGACGCUGAGGAGCGAAAGCGUGCGGAGCGAACAGGCUUAGAUACCCUGGUAGUCCACGCUGUAAACGGUGGGUACUAGGUGUGGCGUCCAUUCCACGGGUUCCGUGCCGUAGCUAACGCUUUAAGUACCCCGCCUGGGGAGUACGGCCCGCAGGCUAAAACUCAAAGGAAAUUGACGGGGCCCCGCACAAGCGGCGGAGCAUGCGGAUUAAUUCGAUGCAACGCGUAGAACCUUACCUGGGUUUGACAUGGAUCGGGAGUGCUCAGAGAUGGGGUGUGCCUCUUUUGGGGUCGGUUCACAGGUGGUGCAUGGCUGUCGUCAGCUCGUGUCGUGAGAUGUUGGGUUAAGUCCCGCAACGAGCGCAACCCUUGUUCACUGUUGCCAGCACGUUAUGGUGGGGACUCAGUGGAGACCGCCGGGGUCAACUCGGAGGAAGGUGGGGAUGACGUCAAGUCAUCAUGCCCCUUAUGUCCAGGGCUUCACGCAUGCUACAAUGGCUGGUACAGAGAGUGGCGAGCCUGUGAGGGUGAGCGAAUCUCGGAAAGCCGGUCUCAGUUCGGAUUGGGGUCUGCAACUCGACCUCAUGAAGUCGGAGUCGCUAGUAAUCGCAGAUCAGCAACGCUGCGGUGAAUACGUUCCCGGGGCUUGUACACACCGCCCGUCAAGUCAUGAAAGUUGGUAACACCCGAAGCCGGUGGCCUAACCGUUGUGGGGGAGCCGUCGAAGGUGGGACUGGUGAUUAGGACUAAGU
rnacentral:rRNA from 1 species